rnacentral:misc_RNA from 1 species
AGUGGCGUAGCUAACGCGUUAAGCACCCCGCCUGGGGAGUACGGUCGCAAGAUUAAAACUCAAAGGAAUUGACGGGGACCCGCACAAGCGGUGGAACAUGUGGUUUAAUUCGAAGCAACGCGAAGAACCUUACCAGCCCUUGACAUGGUCGGACGGUUUCCAGAGAUGGAUUCCUUCACUUCGGUGACUGACACACAGGUGCUGCAUGGCUGUCGUCAGCUCGUGUCGUGAGAUGUUGGGUUAAGUCCCGCAACGAGCGCAACCCUCGCCUUUAGUUGCCAUCAUUUAGUUGGGCACUCUAGAGGGACUGCCGGUGAUAAGCCGGAGGAAGGUGGGGAUGACGUUCGUCUGAC